rnacentral:rRNA from 1 species
UACGGAGGGGGCUAGCGUUGUUCGGAAUUACUGGGCGUAAAGCGCACGUAGGCGGCUUUGUAAGUUAGAGGUGAAAGCCUGGAGCUCAACUCCAGAAUUGCCUUUAAGACUGCAUCGCUUGAAUCGCGGAGAGGUGAGUGGAAUUCCGAGUGUAGAGGUGAAAUUCGUAGAUAUUCGGAAGAACACCAGUGGCGAAGGCGGCUCACUGGCCCGGUACUGACGCUGAGGUGCGAAAGCGUGGGGAGCAAACAGG